rnacentral:rRNA from 1 species
CGGCGGACGGGUGAGUAACACGUGGAUAACCUACCUAUAAGACUGGGAUAACUUCGGGAAACCGGAGCUAAUACCGUAUAAUAUUUUGAACCGCAUGGUUCAAAAGUGAAAGACGGUCUUGCUGUCACUUAUAGAUGGAUCCGCGCUGCAUUAGCUAGUUGGUAAGGUAACGGCUUACCAAGGCAACGAUGCAUAGCCGACCUGAGAGGGUGAUCGGCCACACUGGAACUGAUACACGGUCCAG